rnacentral:tRNA from 1 species
GGGAGUAGAUGGGUUCUGGUGUGCCCUCCGGUCUUCAAAACCGGUAUGAGUCGUUAAGAGCGGCUUGGGUGGGUUCGAUUCCCACCUAUUCCCGCCA